rnacentral:tRNA from 2 species
GGCACUGUGGCUUAGUUGGUUAAAGCGCCUGUCUCGUAAACAGGAGAUCCUGGGUCCAAAUCCCAGCAGUGCCU